UAGUACUGUGAAACUGCGAAUGGCUCAUUAAAUCAGUUAUCGUUUAUUUGAUUGUUCAAAGAAUUACAUGGAUAUCUGUGGUAAUUCUAGAGCUAAUACAUGCGAAAAACCGCGACUGGCUCUCGGGUCGGAAGCGGUGUAUUUAUUAGAUCAAAAACCAAUGGCUCUUCGGAGUCUUGUUCGGUGAAUCAUGAUAACUUAUCGAAUCGCACUGGCCUUUGCGCUGGCGAUGUUUCAUUCAAAUUUCUGCCCUAUCAACUGUCGAUGGUAAGGUAGCGGCUUACCAUGGUUGUAACGGGUGACGGAGAAUUAGGGUUCGAUUCCGGAGAGGGAGCCUGAGAAACGGCUACCACAUCUAAGGAAGGCAGCAGGCGCGGAAAUUACCCAAGCACAUCCUGGGGGAGGUAGUGACGAAACAUAACGAAGCGUGCGCCCUUCACGGGUCUCGCUAUCGGAAUGAGCACUUUUCUAAACACCCUGUUGAGAACCUACUGAAGGGCAAGUCUGGUGCCAGCAGCCGCGGUAAUUCCAGCUUCAGUAGCAUAUAUUAAAGUUGCUGCGGUUAAAAGGCUCGUAGUUGAAUGUCUGUUCCGAAGUGCGGCAGGUGGACGUUGGAUUUGUUGUUGGCUCCUUCGCGGUGUCCAGCUCACGCUCCCGUCCGUUAACAUCCUCCGCACUCGCGUACAAAAGGGCGUCGACCGAGAGUUCGCUCUCGCAGACGCCACAGUCACCCUGAGUAAAUCAGAGUGCUCAAAGCAGUCGUAAAGGGCCUAGCCCUGUUAACACACGGAGCGUGGCUUCGUGCCCGCUCUAAGAGGACAGACUUGGUUUUGCAUGGUAUGUCGGAAUACGACGUCGGGCGCUGGCUAAUGGUCGUAGCAGUGGUAUAAGCCAGCCUCGACGUAAUGAUUAAAAGGGCUUGUCGAGGGCAUUGGUAUUGCGAAGCGAGAGGUGAAAUUCUAUGACCUUCGCAAGACCUCCUGAAGCGAAAGCGUCUGCCAAGGAUGUUUUCAUUAAUCAUGAACGAAAGUUAGAGGAUCGAAGGCGAUCAGAUACCGCCCUAGUUCUAACCCUAAACGAUGCCAACCAUCAAUUCGUCGAGCACCCUUCUUGACGGGCUCGACGGGCGGCUCCUAUCUUACGGGAAAUCAGAGUCUUUGGGUUCUGGGGGGAGUAUGGUCGCAAGGCUGAAACUUAAAGGAAUUGACGGAAGGACACCACCAGGAGUGGAGCCUGCGGCUUAAUUUGAUUCAACACGGGAAAACUUACCAGGNCAAAAAACUGAUAUGAUUGACAGCUUGAUAGCGCUUUCUUGAUCCGGUANCAAGUGGNGCAUGGCCGUUCUUACUUGGUGGAGUGAUUUGUCAGGUUAAUUCCCUAAACGAACGAGACCUUAACCUGCUAAAUAGGAGUGCUUACUUUUGCUAGGCAUAUCCUUCUUAGAGGGACUAUGGAUCCAAAUCCAUGGAAGUUUGAGGCAAUAACAGGUCCGUGAUGCCCUUAGACGUUCUGGGCCGCACGCGUGCUACACUGAUGCAUGCAACGAGCUACCUAACUCGAAAGAGGAAGGGAAAUCUUUUCAAUGUGCAUCGUGCUUGGGAUAGAUCCUUGUAAUUAUGGGUCUUGAACGAGGAACUCCUAGUAAGUGCAAGUCACUAUCUUGCGNUGAUUACGUCCCUGUCCUUUGUACACACCGCCCGUCGCUCCUACCGAUUGAGUGAUUC
rnacentral:rRNA from 1 species